rnacentral:misc_RNA from 1 species
GCCUAGCCCUGAUUGAAGCAAUUGUUUGAGCUCAUUUUCCAGAUUUCGGGGCGGCGGCUUCGCCGCCGCCCCGAAAUCUGGAAAAUAGCGAGUGCGGAAAGCAGGAAAAAGC